GCGUAUCCAAUCAGCGCGCGUCCUCACGGGACACCGCCAAGCUCAGUUUGACUGCUGUGUGGAGCAGCUGAGGCGACUCGCGUAGACGCUCUGAUUCUGGCGCGAUAAACACAGAUUUCGUCCAUCUAACUGUACAUAUCGACGCGAUAUGCCGCGGCUGUGAGCGGGCUGGUUACGCUGAGCUGCAGUCGCAGACCGAAGACUGACCACACGCCGCGGUCAGCGCACUGACAUCAUGGCGAAAGAUGCUGGACUCAAAGAAACCAGCGGAGAGAUAAAGGUGUUUGUCAACCAGAAUCUGAGUCCAGGGAAACGUGAGUACACACUA